rnacentral:tmRNA from 1 species
GGGGGUGAACGGUCUCGACUUUGGAUGUUGGGGCAGGGGAAGCGGGCCGAGGAAGCCAGGAUGAUCUCGUUAACCAAUAACCUGUGCAAAAAACUAAGCGCCAGUACAACUGCCGCUGAUUACGCCCUAGCUGCAUAAGCUAGCCUCGUGAUCCGUUAGCCCGAGUGAGCCUUCGAUUCGGAACCUAGCGCCGUAAGAGGGCUUUUCAUGGUGUUGGCUUUGCGAACAACACCAGAGAACAGUUUCGCAAAUGAGUUCGUCGGGUACUUGUGUGUAAGAGAUCCGGAACUGAGAAAACGACAAACGCACUACGCCCGUAGAAGCCCUGUUUUGGUACCGAAGGACCCGGGUUCGAUUCCCGGCACCUCCACUC